GAUGAACGCUGGCGGCGUGCCUAACACAUGCAAGUCGAGCGAGGAAGAGAAAGCUUGCUUCCAAAUCCUAGCGGCGGACGGGUGAGUAACGCGUGGGCAACCUACCCUGUACAGGGGGAUAACAAUGGGAAACCAUUGCUAAUACCCCAUAACACCUUUAAGGGGCAUCUCUAAAAGGUCAAAGAAUUUCGGUACAGGAUGGGCCCGCGUCUGAUUAGCUAGUUGGUAAGGUAAUGGCUUACCAAGGCGACGAUCAGUAGCCGGCCUGAGAGGGUGAACGGCCACACUGGAACUGAGACACGGUCCAGACUCCUACGGGAGGCAGCAGUGGGGAAUAUUGCACAAUGGGCGAAAGCCUGAUGCAGCAACGCCGCGUGAGGGAUGAAGGCUUUCGAGUCGUAAAGCUCUGUCCUAAGGGAAGAUAAUGACGGUACCUUAGGAGGAAGCCCCGGCUAACUACGUGCCAGCAGCCGCGGUAAUACGUAGGGGGCAAGCGUUAUCCGGAAUCAUUGGGCGUAAAGGGUGCGUAGGCGGCCCUAUGGGUCAGAGGUUAAAGGCUACGGCUCAACCGUAGUAAGCCUUUGAAACUGUAGGGCUUGAGUGCAGGAGAGGAGAGUGGAAUUCCUAGUGUAGCGGUGAAAUGCGUAGAUAUUAGGAGGAACACCAGUGGCGAAGGCGACUCUCUGGACUGCAACUGACGCUGAGGCACGAAAGCGUGGGUAGCGAACAGGAUUAGAUACCCUGGUAGUCCACGCCGUAAACGAUGAGUGCUAGGUGUUGGGGGUCAAACCUCGGUGCCGCAGUUAACGCAUUAAGCACUCCGCCUGGGGAGUACGUUCGCAAGAAUGAAACUCAAAGGAAUUGACGGGGACCCGCACAAGCAGCGGAGCAUGUGGUUUAAUUCGAAGCAACGCGAAGAACCUUACCUGGACUUGACAUCCCUCGGACCGUUUCUUAACCGAAACCUUCCCUUCGGGGACUGAGGUGACAGGUGGUGCAUGGUUGUCGUCAGCUCGUGUCGUGAGAUGUUGGGUUAAGUCCCGCAACGAGCGCAACCCUUGUCUUUAGUUGCCAGCAAGUAAUGUUGGGCACUCUAGAGAGACUGCCGGGGAUAACUCGGAGGAAGGUGGGGAUGACGUCAAAUCAUCAUGCCCCUUAUGUCCAGGGCUACACACGUGCUACAAUGGCCGAUACAACGGGCAGCCAAGGAGUAAUCCGGAGCGAAUCCUACAAAAUCGGUCCCAGUUCGGAUUGUGGGCUGAAACUCGCCCACAUGAAGUCGGAGUUGCUAGUAAUCGCGGAUCAGAAUGUCGCGGUGAAUGCGUUCCCGGGUCU
rnacentral:rRNA from 1 species